GAAAUUUCUUCGAGUCCACCACCUUCAAUGAACCCAACUGAGACUACUCUGACCUCAAGAGGAUCUGUCACCAGAUGCCCUCUCUCUCCUCUUCCUUCACGGCAGAGACAGGUGAAGGACCAGCCGUCCUCCACAUCAUCAGCGAUCUCGUCUCUCUCCUCUUCUAUUUGAUGAGCUCAACGGCAACAAUGGGGUUUAGACCCGAUGUGAUGAAAACUGUUGGUAAACUCUGUUGGCAGUGCCUGUGCCCCUCCCAGACACUGCCGUUACGGCAAUCUUGGUCCACCUCCGCCGGUCCGUCUGCCACCGUCGUCAACCAGCACCACCAUCGCCGUCCUCUAUCACGGUAUCCCUCACUGCUCAGCAAAGGAGAUCAGUACCAACCCUGUUGUCAACACUCUACGGCUUGCCGGCUCUGAUUUGGCAACUUCCAUAUGAUCUGAUCUGAUCUCAUUUGAGAAUGAAAACUUGAUCUGAUAAUCUGAACGAGAUCAAUCUGUAAUUUGUGUACGAGAUCAAUCAGCUACGAUGGCCAUUUCAACCCCAUUUUGGUUGUUUAGGUGCUGGAGCUCACUAACGACGUCUUCAUCGGCUACUCUCGCAACCACUCCGCGAGAUGAUGAUGAAGAUAUACCAGAUCUCAACCUCUAUUGUUGAACCCUAUAACAGUGUCUUGUCCACUCACCCAUGUGACCCACACUCACACACACACCCUUGCAACCCAUUUUAAUAUAUUAACAUCACUAUCCUAGCCCACAGGUUUCGAAAACCCCCACCGGAUUUAUUUUAUUUUCAUCAUCACUUUGCUGGUGCACAUUCUCAUUCUCAUUAUUUUUAUUAUUAUCACAUGGGCGUGUUACCCCUCUUU